GCGCCCGUAGCUCAGUGGAUAGAGCGUCGGUUUCCGGAACCGAAAGUCGCAGGUUCGAAUCCUGCCGGGCGCG
rnacentral:tRNA from 1 species